CAUGCAAGUCGAACGGCAGCACGGAGCUUGCUCUGGUGGCGAGUGGCGAACGGGUGAGUAAAAUAUCGGAACGUACCCAGGAGUGGGGGAUAACGUAGCGAAAGUUACGCUAAUACCGCAUACGUCCCAAGGGAGAAAGUGGGGGAUCGCAAGACCUCAUGCUCAUGGAGCGGCCGAUAUCUGAUUAGCUAGUUGGUGGGGUAAAGGCCUACCAAGGCAUCGAUCAGUAGCUGGUCUGAGAGGACGACCAGCCAC
rnacentral:rRNA from 1 species